ensembl:lncRNA
AUGAACAGAAAAGCUAAAGAAAAGGUGGUGACGUCAGGAAGGCUCACAGGUACCGCCGGGAGGAGAGCCACUCCUGAUCCAGGACCAGCUGCCUGGCCUGAGCCACGUGACUCCCUUUACUCCACAAACUCCGAUCAGGUCACUACUCUUCACAAGGGUCUGGACCAGUGUGCUGCCUUGCUCAGUGGCAUUCUCCAGGCAGAGAAGGCAGCCUCACCAGGACCUAAGAAGCUGAUGAUUAAACCAAGAGCAUCCACUUGUCAGGGGAGUAAGACCAUAAAGAAAGGUCCUACAAAAUCAGGAACAGUUUCUGCAGGUGUUUCCAGAAGCAUGAAGCCUGUAGCAGGGAAACCCAGACCCUCCACCUCUCAGGGGGCCGCCGCUCUCAGGAAGCCUCAGACCAAAGACCUUCGGCACUCAGAACCAGACACUCGUAGACCAGCUCCUCCAGCUCUUCUGUCAAGACAAAAGCUACACCCGUCUCCCUCUGCUGCUCAGAACCAAACCCCUCGGCCCCCACUCAGCUUGGUCCCUCCACCUCAGACCUCCGUCCACGUCCAGACCAGCUGCCCUUCUGGUCCUGAAGUUCCACGUUCCACGACAGAGUGGGAUGGACUAAAGGAAGUUCCCGUCAAAGACUCUGAUGUCCAGGUCCCACAUGAAGACUCCCAUACCACGAUGGGGCUAAACCUGCAGGUAGAUCCUGGAGUCCCUGAGAACUCGUCCGUCAGAGGGGAGGACAGCCGGAGGACAGAAGCAGAGACGAUUGAUUGUCUGCUGGGAGAACUCAAAGCUCUGAUUGCUGGUCAAGGCAGUGUAGCAGAGAGGCUGCUCCUCCGUCUGGAGCAGGUUGUGUCUUCACAGAUAAAUGUCGGUUGUUCAAACGUCCCAACAGGAAGUCCAUCAGAUCCAUCAUGGCUGCCGGGUCAGAGUGCUCACCUGUGCAGGUGUGUGAAGAUUUCUGGCAAGGCGGAUGAACACCAGAAACAGGAACUACUUUCCAACUUAGGAGCGGUGAGUCUGAAGGAGGACCUUCUGGCUGCUCAGUCCAGACUCCAGGAGCUCCAGGAGGACUUCACAGAGCUACGGAAAGCCCUCCAGGACACCCAGAGCCAGCUGAGGGACAAAGAAGAGGAGAACACACUCCUAAAGACAGACCUGAAGGCCACCAGAGAACAUCUGCAGCAAACGCAGCAACAGAAGAUGGAGCUAGCCUCGCUCGCCCAGCAGAGACUAGAGGAGAUAGGAGCCCUUCAGAGAUGUCUUCAGAGUCAGAAGAGAUCAGAUGAGGUCCGCCAGUCUCCUGAACAGGACCCACCAGCGCCCCCCAGUGACCUGAUCAAACACUACCUGAUGUCUUUGAGCCAGGUGGAGCACACACACCCAGGGCUGCCUGUCCAGGUCAGAGGUCAUCCAGCCUCAUGGGCGAGUGAUGGACAUGUCUACCUGUGACCUGGAGUCUGUUUGCUCCAGCUGGAGCGUGAGAUCAGGCUCCACCUUCGACACCAGAGACGAGCUGGCGUUUCGUGAUGGACUUGCUGCUCUGGACGCCAGCAUAGCCAGUCUGCAGAAGACCAUCAGACUGGAUUUGAAGAAGUGACACCAGUCCCCAACUCUACACCCAGAUACGCUCUCCUUGUUUUACUUUGAACAAACUGAAAUAAACUAAUCAGAUUUCAUCAGGUGUCUGAAGGAUUUGCUGUUUUUUCCUGGUCGGGUUUUCAGAACAUCACGUCGUCUCGUCCCCGUCCUCUUGUUGUCCCGGGUCGUGGAGACGUAAAAACAGAGGGACAGGCUGAAAAAGACCCAUAACUCGGCGCUUUUAAGCCCCAUUCCCACCUGUACCGGGUCGGCCCGGGCCGGGUAGCGUAGGUUGUUUACAUAUCUGGGUGGCCUGGUAUUUUUCCGGGCCAACCAAGGCUCAUUCUCAGCCCUCUUCUCGAGGGGGUCUGCUUCAGGCCGACCAGGGCCAACACGCCCACUGCUGACAGCAAAUUCACACCUUCCAUUAGAGCAAGCCUCUGAUUGGUGGGUAGGAUCAGCUCACAUGGGCUUAAGACAAGGAUGUGUGGAAUCAACCGGGCCAGGCUGGGGCUGACUGGCCCGGGCCGACCCGGUACAGAUGUUUCUGCCUUCUCUUUCUCAAAUGAGCCGGCAUAAAGUACUGCCCAUUAAAACAUUAUUUAAUAAUUUAUUCUCCACCCAGUUCAGGAGUUCCCCUGUCGUGAUGGGAGGAUGAAUGAUACGUCUCCACUUGGCCCUGUUCUGUCUCAGAUCUGACAGCAGUUUGAUGUUGAGCUUCUACAUUUCAUCCAUUAGACGUGUCGGGUGGCCCUGCUCUGAUUCGAGCUGAAACUUCAGACUUGUUCGUUGUUACAGCCUCUUCUGCUCAGCUGGGACUCCAGCCAGGCCUCUCCAGUGGAAGAGGCCCGGUGUACUGUGGGUGGUGGUUUGUGUGAGGCCAUAUUCUCAUUUUGCUUCACCUGCUGGUCCUCCAAGUUCUAAAGGAGCCGUCUGGGAAAACCAAGAUGAACAAAAUCCAGAACUGUGUUUUUAAAGUUCAGUUUUAAAUUUUACCAAACAUUUUAUACUCUGAAUAAAGCCCACCUGAUGGAGCAUCUCUAGCCCUGAAGCACUAUGGGUGCCCCUGUGGGACAGAUCACUGGGUUCUGUCCCCUCCAUGACCCAGCCUUGGACAAGUCACGGCAUCCAAAAACACCGAAUGAAAAAGCAGACGUUUGUUUGCAAAAGUGAAAAAGGUUUUUAUUAAGAAAACCAGGAGACAGUAGAAAACGGUCGUUGAAAGGGCAGCGGUGACCUCUGACCCUGGCGUGCUGCUGUAAGGCAGGCUGGUGCACAGCUCGGACCGAACACACCCACAUCAGCACCGUACUAAACUAUCUACAGUCCCUUUGGUAGAGCGAGGGCUGCUGUGGGCCGUCUCAGUGCAGGUUUGUUCCUCUCGCUAACGGACGGAGAACCUUAUUUAUGUGGAGGACAACCCAACAUGGCGGCCCUCGGUAGUGCAAAGCAGAGUAAAGGUGGAGCAGGAAGGACACCAACCAGAGAAGCAGCCCUUGGUUUAGAAGAACUCUGCUCCACUAGUGCCUGUAGUGAUCUGCUUCUGGAAUCAUCUCUACUUAUAUAAAAAAAAAACUCAGCUUUGAAUGUCCUCUAUUGGGUGGGGGUUCAAACUCCACCUACUCCGACGAAGUGAAAGGACUUUAAAUACCUGAACCCUACCCCACCCUGCUGGUCUGGAUUGUCUAGGACCAUCUACAGCAAGAUGAUGACAUCAUAGCUGACUCUGGUCUAGCUCCCAUUCAGGAAUCAGACCCCCACCUCCCAGUACAGUUCAUACACGGUGCCUUCGUGUUCUUCAUGACCACUGAAGUGGUCUGGAUCAUUGGUUCUCCAGACUGAACAUCGGUUUUUCAUGAAACGGGACCAGAUUGGUUAUCUUCUUGUUGGUGCAGAAACACUACUAUAGUUUUUAUUUAGUCAUCUUUCUGAUAUAACUUAAUAAAAUUUAUAUUUCACACUGGCUCAUCCCUUGAGUUAAAUUGGUCAGAGUUCCUUAAAAGCAAAAUCAAAACCAUUUCCCAGAAAUGGGGAAUGACUGACUGAAAAUACCACAAAACGACGCUAAUGUCCCAAAAGGUCUUUGAAAGACCUUCAGGACGUCUGAUGAAGACCAUUUAACUGUGAAUGAGCCAGUCUCUGAUCUGGAGAACCAUGAUGAAGAUCACGUGUUGCAGUGAAGAAUCUGGGGGUGACUGGAGGAAGCAUCAGUCCUAUGAGCCGAGGUAGAG